GCUGGUGUAGUUCAUCGGUAGAAUGAAACCUUCCCAAGGUUUAGAGGCGAGUUCGACUCUCGUCACCAGCU
rnacentral:tRNA from 1 species